CCUACGGGAGGCAGCAGUGAGGAAUAUUGGUCAAUGGGCGCGAGCCUGAACCAGCCAAGUCGCGUGAGGGAAGACGGCCCUACGGGUUGUAAACCUCUUUUGCCGGGGAACAACGGGCGCCACGUGUGGCGCCACUGAUAGUACCCGGAGAAAAAGCAUCGGCUAACUCCUGACCAGCAGCCGCGGUAAUACGAAGGAUGCGAGGGUUAUCCGGAUUUAUUGGGUUUAAAGGGUGCGUAGGCGGAGCGUUAAGUCAGUGGUCAAAUUGAGGUGCUCAACCCCUUCCCGCCAUUGAAACUGGCGCUCUUGAGUGGAAGAGAAGUAUGCGGAAUGCGUGGUGUAGCGGUGAAAUGCAUAGAUAUCACGCAGAAACCCGAUUGCGAAGGCAGCAUGCCGGCUUCCGACUGACGCUGAAGCACGAAAGCGUGGGGAUCGAACAGGAUUAGAUACCCUUGUAGUC
rnacentral:rRNA from 1 species